rnacentral:rRNA from 1 species
AACUUACCAGGUCAAGACAUGGGCGUGAUUGACAGGCUAAUGACUUUUCUCGAUUCCAUGGAUGGUGGUGCAUGGUCGCACUUAGUUGGUGCAGUGAUUUGUCAGGUUUAUUCCGGUAACGAACGAGACCUCGGCCUUGUAAAUAGCUAUGCUGCUUACAGGGACAUUGGCGGCUACGCCAAGGAAGCUCGAGGCAAUUGCAGAUCUGGAAUGCCCUUAGAUGUCCUGGGUCGCACGCGUGCUACAAUGACGCCACGAACGAGCUUGCGUGAUGAAAGUUACGCAUAAUCAGCAGUCGGCGUCUUAAGGGAUAGUCUCUUGUAACUGUGGGACUCCAACUAGGAAUGUCUCGUAAGCACAAGUCAACAUCUUGUGUUGAUUACGUCCCUGCUCUUUGUACACACCGCCCGUCGCUCCUACCGAUCGAGUGUUUAGGUGAAUUUGAUGGACGUAAGGAAGUCAAAUAAACCUGAGCACUAGAGAAGAGAAGUCGACAUGUU